UAAACUGGAUAUUCGAGUGCUAUACGGGGGACCCAAGUAACAAUUAUGAAAUUUGCUUUCAAUAGUCAGUAGAUUCGAAGUUCAAGCAAGGAUAUACACUGCGCACAAUCCAGUUAGCACACCCCGUUAGAUAAAACAAAAUGGCUUAGAAAAUAAACAAAUAAAAAAUAUAGUUCAACUUUGGUCAUCAGGUUUUGCAACAAAUUGGUCAUAGCAAAGACAAUAUAAACACUAAGAUGAGUAACGCCCAUACAUUUGCAUGCGACGAAAAAUUUCAUGCCUGGCGUUUCAUCUGGCGUUUGAGUUUUCGCACGACAUGCCAGCCGACUGGCUAUUCGUUCUCCAAAAGCCAAACGAAAGAAUGCCGAAGUCGCGGCUUGCUGAUGCUGACCCGAGCAACGAAGUUAGUCGCCAGCCUGCCUUCAGCAAAGCUGGUUGAUGGUGCUUUGCGUCGCUUCGUUUUCGAAGUACAUUGAGCGAAAAGUUUUAAACUUACGAUCGACGCAAAGUACUUCUGAUUUAUCCAUGAAAUGCAUGCUUUAUUUAAAUGAUACAUUACCCUAGAUACUAAUUACAUAUAAAUUUUGCAGGAAAAAUUAACAAUAAAAUAUUUUUUUACAAGA